CUUCAGGUUCCACCGCCACAACUUGGCAUUCCAAGUGAAAGAUCCCCGAAGGGAGACCCUUACUCAAGUCUCGGGAAGUCGCGGACCCCAGACACAGAGAGACCA
rnacentral:pre_miRNA from 14 species